rfam:Eubacteriaceae bacterium CHKCI005 isolate CHKC5 genome assembly, contig: {contig36}
GGGGAUGCAAUGGCUUUCGACGGGGAUUGUGAACCAUGAGUAGCGAGUAGCGGUGCGGAACCGCUUUAAAAGCCGCAAACUAAACAAUAACUGACAACAAUCAAGUUGCCUACGCAGCCUAAUUAGGCUGCCGUCUCUACUGGGAGUACCGCGGCCCAGAUAGAGGCGUCGAUGAGCGGUGCACGUGAACAGGUGAGUGCUCUGUAACCUGUCAUGAUUUAAGAGCUACCGUAACGUCUAGCCUGCCGAUCGGCGAGAUGUGAGGGGAAUCUUAAAAGACCGGCUGUACUCGAAGAAGCUUAUGGGAAUCGAUUUUCGGACAGGGGUUCAAUUCCCCUCAUCUCCACCA